rnacentral:rRNA from 1 species
AUGUAAGUUAAUGCCUACAGUGUUAAUUCAUAAGAUCCCAUUAGAACUCCGUAGUUAAGUGUGCUUGGGCUAGACUAGUACUAGGAUGGGUGACCUCUCAAGAAGUCCUAGUGUUUUACAUG